GACGAACGCUGGCGGCGCGCUUAAUACAUGCAAGUCGAGCGAGAACCAGAGCUUCGGCUCUGGGGACAGCGGCGAACGGGUGAGUAUCACGUGAGUAAUCUGCCCUCGGCACCGGGAUAGCCCGGGGAAACCCGGAUUAAUACCGGAUGGCCUCUCGAGCCCUCGGGCUCGUGAGAAAAGGUAGCUUCGGCCUCCGGCCGGGGAGGAGCUCGCGGCGGAUUAGCUUGUUGGUGGGGUAACGGCCCACCAAGGCGACGAUCCGUAGCUGGUCUGAGAGGACGAUCAGCCACACUGGGACUAAGACACGGCCCAGACUCCUACGGGAGGCAGCAGUAGGGAAUCUUGCGCAAUGGGCGAAAGCCUGACGCAGCGACGCCGCGUGCGGGAAGAAGGCCUUCGGGUUGUAAACCGCUUUCAGGAGGGACGAAGCCACUCGGGUUAAUAGCCCAGAGGGUGACGGUACCUCCAGAAGAAGCCCCGGCUAACUACGUGCCAGCCGCCGCUGUAAUAC
rnacentral:rRNA from 1 species